AACGAACGCUGGCGGCAUGCCUAACACAUGCAAGUCGAACGAGACCUUCGGGUCUAGUUGCGCACGUGUGCGUAACGCGUGGGAACCUGCCCUUAGGUUCGGAAUAACUCCCCGAAAGGGGUGCUAAUACCGGAUAAUGUCUUCGGACCAAAGAUUUAUCGCCUUUGGAUGGGCCCGCGUUGGAUUAGCUAGUUGGUAGGGUAAAAGCCUACCAAGGCGACGAUCCAUAGCUGGUCUGAGAGGAUGAUCAGCCACACUGGGACUGAGACACGGCCCAGAAUCCUACGGGAGGCAGCAGUGGGGAAUAUUGGACAAGGGGCGAAAGCCUGAUCCAGCAAUGCCGGGUGAGUGAUGAAGGCCUUAGGGUUGUAAAGCUCUUUUACCCGGGAUGAUAAUGACAGUACCGGGAGAAUAAGCUCCGGCUAACUCCGUG
rnacentral:rRNA from 1 species